UCUAGGUGGCUCUCCUAAAGAGCUGCUUAGAAAAAGUUUUGUUAGGUUUUUUAUUUUCAGUGAGUCCUGCUGGCAACAGGCUCACUGCAUCGAGGGACUUAGGGGAGAGAAGUCAACUCACCUGCGUGCAGGAUGGAUUGGCUUCUUAGGCUACUGGACACCAUUAGCUCCAGAGGGAUCGAACACAGGCCCAGCCAUGGAGUCCGGUCCCGGAGCCGCGCCGCCGACCCCCUUGCAGAUGCCGAAGAUGGAAGAGGUCCAGAAGCAGGCGGCAGAAGACUUUUCAGUCUUCCUGAGGUGAGACGUGCGGCUUUCAGUGCCCCUCGAACUUUGUACCGGUGGCUGAAUGUCGGGGGUCUGUGAAGUCUGAUACGGAUACAGAAGUCUGGCUCAUUAAGGCACCAUCAGACUUUACUCCGGAGAGCUUCAGCUCUCAUCGCCUCCCGCUGUCUGGGUACAAGAUGCAGAAGAUGAAGGUUAACAGCGUCAAGAAAUAUUACCACGUCAUGUCUUCCCAUUGCAGUGAUAGCCCUUUCCGGGCCUUGCUCUGCUCUCCGGAGCCCUCUGCGGGGAGCCUGGUUUGUGCCCCACCGUUCCAGGGUAUCAUCACCCUGGCAGAGGCCCAUGGGGACCACACAGCCCUAAACAGCAUUCCAGACAGGCCCCCCCUACUCAUUCCUCAGGGGCUAAAGCAGAGAUAUCGCCCAUUCGGAGCUACUGCCCCACGAGCCGUCCCGGACAACGUGGGGCAAUCUCAGUGGUCGGGUAGUACCAAGAAGAAGAAGAAAGCUAAAAAACGCAAGCAGGAGGGAUUGCUACUUAUGGACCUGUAGCGUGGGGCUGGGAGAGGGAUGGAAAUGGAAAUAAAGGACAGAAACUUCUUGUGCCGUUACCACACUGCAAUA